rnacentral:rRNA from 1 species
CCUACGGGAGGCUGCAGUGGGGAAUAUUGGGCAAUGGGCGCAAGCCUGACCCAGCAACGCCGCGUGAAGGAAGACGGCUCUCGGGUUGUUAACUCCUUUUUUUAGGGACGCAGCAAGCGACGGUAUCUGAGGAAUAAGCCACGGCUAACUACGUGCCAGCAGCCGUGGUAAUACGCAGGUGGCAAGCGUUAUCCGGAUUGACUGGGUGUAAAGGGUGUGUAGGUGGGAAAGCAAGGUAGAUGUUAAAACCAUGGGCUCAACCUGUGGCCUGCAUUUGAAACUGUUUUUCUUGAGUACUGGAGAGGCAGACGGAAUGCCUGGUGUAGCGGUGAAAUGCGUAGAUAUUAGGAGGAACACCAGUGGCGAAGGCAGUCUGCUGGACAGCAACUGACGCUGAGGCGCGAAAGCGUGGGGAGCAAACAGGAUUAGAUACCCGUGUAGUC